GGACUAACGCCGAUAUGCUUCGGGGAGCUGUAAGUAAGCUUUGAUCCGAAGAUUUCCGAAUGGGGAAACCCACCAUACGUAAUGGUAUGGUAUCCUUAUCUGAAUACAUAGGGUAAGGAAGACAGACCCAGGGAACUGAAACAUCUAAGUACCUGGAGGAAGAGAAAGCAAAUGCGAUUUCCUGAGUAGCGGCGAGCGAAACGGAACAUAGCCCAAACCAAGAGGCUUGCCUCUUGGGGUUGUAGGACAUUCUAUACGGAGUUACAAAGGAACGAGGUAGACGAAGCGACCUGGAAAGGUCCGUCGUAGAGGGUAACAACCCCGUAGUCGAAACUUCGUUCUCUCUUGAAUGUAUCCUGAGUACGGCGGAACACGUGAAAUUCCGUCGGAAUCUGGGAGGACCAUCUCCAAAGGCUAAAUACUCCCUAGUGAUCGAUAGUGAACCAGUACCGUGAGGGAAAGGUGAAAAGCACCCCGGAAGGGGAGUGAAAGAGAUCCUGAAACCGUGUGCCUACAAAUAGUCAGAGCCCGUUAA
rnacentral:rRNA from 1 species